GAUGAACGCUAGCGGCAGGCCUAAUACAUGCAAGUCGAACGGUGUCUUCGGACAUAGUGGCGCACGGGUGCGUAACACGUAUGCAACCUACCUUACAUUGGGGGAUAGCCUUUCGAAAGGGAGAUUAAUACCGCAUAAGACAGUAACUAGGCAUCUAGUAGCUGUUAAAGAUUUAUCGAUGUAAGCUGGGCAUGCGUCCAAUUAGCUAGUUGGUGGGGUAACGGCUCACCAAGGCAAUGAUUGGUAGGGGAACUGAGAGGUCAAUCCCCCACACUGGCACUGAGAUACGAGCCAGACUCCUACGGGAGGCAGCAGUAGGGAAUAUUGGGCAAUGGACGCAAGUCUGACCCAGCCAUGCCGCGUGCAGGAUGAAGGCGUUAUGCGUUGUAAACUGCUUUUAUACAGGAAGAAACGACUCUUGCGAGAGGCAUUGACGGUACUGUAUGAAUAAGCACCGGCUAACUCCGUGCCAGCCGCCGCCGUAACAC
rnacentral:rRNA from 1 species